UUUUUUCUUUUUUUCUUUUUGCCAUUUCUUGGGCUGCUCCCGAGGCAUAUGGAAGUUCCCAGGCUAGGGGUCCAAUUGGAGCUGUAGCUGCUGGCCUAUGCCAGAGCCACAGCAACGCGGGAUGUGAGCCACGUCUGCAGCCUACACCAGGGUUCACGGCAACGCUGGAUCCUUAACCCACGAGUAAGGCCAGGGAACGAACCCGCAACGUCAUGGUUCCUAGUCAGAUUCUAACCACUGAGCCAUGACGGGAACUCCUAGAACAUUUUCUUCUUCUUUUUUUUUUUUUUCCCCCCGGAGCUGUAGCCACCAGCCUACGCCAGAGCCACAGCAACGCAGGAUCCAGCCACGUCUGCAACCUACACCACAGCUAACGGCAACGCCAGAUCGUUAACCCACUGAGCAAGGGCAGGGACGGAACCCACAACCUCAUGGUUCCUAGUCAGAUUCGUUAACCACUGCGCCACGACGGGAACUCCCUAGAACAUUUUCUUUUGAGAAAAAUAUUUUCACAAGAUUAAGUCCUUGCCAAAUUGGCUUUCUGAAUCAUUAAAAGGAUUUGGAUCCCAAAGGCCUGAGCCCAACCAGAUAAUGUACUUAGGUUGAGUCGUAGGUUCCUAUCUGUUUUUCCUCAAAUCCUUAUUUCAGGACAUGGGUCAUCUUUCUGCAUUGAUUGACAUACUCUAUCAUCAAACCAGAGAAUGGGCAUGAAUGAGCUUUGGACUUAAGAAUCAAAGAGGUUCCCAUUACCACUAUGAUUUUUUUUAAAACAUUUUAUUAAUGAUUUAAAUUUUUUUUUUCACUAUAGCUAGUUUACAGUGACCACUACAAUUCUUAAUUUGGGUAAUUGCCAAGAUCACCAGGUACUGAGGUCCCCUUAAUGCUUAUGAGAGAUGAAACUUUUGGUGUUGGAUUUAUAUGAUGGACUUAAUUCUAGUCUACAUUUAGGGCCAACCUCUUCUUGAAGAGGACACAUACCCUGAAGAACAGUCAUGUGAUGGUUGUCCAUGUGUGGAUCGAAACUCAUGCCUCCUCCUUCCCCAACCCGACAUGGGCCUGAGUUGUUUCUUUUGCUCUAUGUAGACCGUCUAUAAUUUUCACCCUUCAAAGCUGUGCUACCAGAAGAUGAUUUUAUAUAGGUUUGAGUUUUGCAUAAUAGCGACUUGUUAUUUUCCUAUUUUGAGUUGGUCCGUGAGGAUGACGUGCAGGGUAAUUCAUGUAGUCAGGGGACCCUGCCAUUAUUGUCAGUGGUAAGCAGCCUUGAAAUAGCCCUUAGACUUAAGAGCCUUCACACUGAGCAGAGGCCACCUCCUCCAUGGGCUCAGCUGGUACCCUCACUGCUACAUUUGACACCCCGAGGUCCAGCUACCUUGCUGGAGUGUGUGUGAGUCAGGAGCAGGGUCUCUAUCUUACUAUUAUAUUCCCAAGGUCCAACUCAGGGCUUGGCUGCUCUUACUGACUGAAUGAGGCCUAUAAAUAUACCUAGAAGUCAGUUGGGCCCAGUGUGGAGGGCAAGUGAUCUAGCAUCAGGUUUGAGGCUGAGCACUGCUGCCUGUCCAAGUCACUUAUUCUCUUAAAGCUGUGUUUUCCCAUCUGUGAAAUGUCGCUAUAAUCUACCUCAUUUGUUAUCAUUGUGGAGUGCUUAGUUCAUCAUCUUCUACUCAGAGUAAAUGGAUGUUAGUAGAAUUGUUAUUUAAUAGAUACACUGUGUCAUUUGAUCCUAACUACCAGCAGAUCCUCCCUCCCCAAUUCAGUUGCUUCCCCUGGUUGAAUAGGAGUUCAGAGGUAUUGCUGCACAAUUUGGCCAUCCCCAGUGGCAUCAAUGUGGCCACCGGGGGAAGGGGUGUGCCACCGAAUAUUUAGGUGCUCAUAUUAUCUAAGAUGCCAAAUGACCUAUUUACAGUGGUAACUGCACAGAGUGAUAGCCAGGCUACAUGAGCUUCCAUGCUAGUGUCAGCAUCCAGGGUUUUAUAUUUAGCAGGAUUUACAGGAAGUGCUAAUAUGAACAGGCUGGCCCAAGUCUGGAGGUCAUGGAAGCAAUCCAGAAAACAGAAAGAUACUCUCUCCCCAAAUUCUAAGGGAUAUGUUCCAACCUUCCAGGCAACAAUUCACCCUGCAAGUUUCGAUAUAGAGUAUCUCUUCAUUUAUUCUUCCUGGUAUCCUCAAUCCUUUCUGAAGGACACCAGCAUUGUUAGCUUGACAUAACGUUGGGGUUUGGAGUAUGCUCUCGUUAGCACUUGAAUAUGAAUUUUAUUUCUAAAUUUUUAAACUCCCCAAAUUACAGGAAAAGCUGUGAUUCCCAUAAAUUCAGUCUCUAGUGUAAAAGUGUACAUUCCUGAUGCAUGUAUUUUGGUGUUCUUUUCUUUUUUUCUUUAUUUUUUAAACUAAGAACUUGGGUGAUGUUCUAAAAGCAUUUGACGAUGGCCUCAUUUUGAAGAUGGUCAUGUAAAUUUUUUGCUGUCUAAAUAAUUUAAUCCUUCAGUUAGAGAAUAAGCUCUUGAGCAAUAUUAUUUUGGGGCCACAUAUGUAAAAUGUUUUUUUUUUUUUUUUUUUUUUUUUUUUUUUUACUGGGUGUUGUGAAUAUUCUUUUUGAAAAAUAGAUUCCCCAUCAAAAUAAGAACAUGUCAAUAUGGCCACAGUUUUAUAAUGUGAAAGAACACCCCUACAUGUAUAUGUAUGUACGUUCUUGUGUUCAUGCCUAUGGGCAGUAAAACCAGUUUUUUCUAGGUGUGUGGGUAUUUUGAUUUCCUGUGUGUUUUUCUGUAUUUCAAAAUGUCUGUAAUGAUUAAAUAGAAAAGCAAUAAUUACUGUAUCUAAAAAGAGAAGCUCUUCUAUUUUUUGAAUUUUUAUUUUAUUUUUAUGUUUUGUUUUUAGGGCUGCACCUGCAGCAUAUGGAGGUUCCCAGGCUAGGGGCUGAAUCAGAGCUAUGGCUGCCAGUCUAUACCACAGCCACAGCAAUGCAGGAUUCAAGCCGCGUCUGUGACCUACACCACAGCUCAUGGCAACGCUGGAUUCUUAACCCACUGAGCAAGGCCAGGGAUUGAACCUGCAACCUCAUGGUUACUAGUCGAAUUCGUUGCUGCUGCACCACAAUAGGAACUCCAAAGAGAAGCUCUUUUAAAGAAGCUCUGGCCAGGAAAAAAUAUGAUUAUAUUAUUUGGCCAGAUACUUCCAGAAUUAAGAAAUUAAAGAGAGAUUUUUAAGGCUGAAUUUACCAGAAAUGUAAUAACCUCAAAUGUAGUCUAUAAAUUUACAGUUCUAUUGACGGAGUGAGGAGAAAGAGUACAUCAUUAGCAACACUGUGGAUUUUUAUGUUUUUCUUUGUAAAUCAGAUUGAAAAGGAAGAGCAAGCCCACCCCUCGGAAGAAGUGAUGGAGGAGUUUCAGGUGAAUGGACGGCCUCAGCUCUCAGUCUCUCUGCUUCUGGACCCACAUGCCCUUGGACAGGUUAUCUGGCUUUGAAUAUGAUGCAGGGGCAGACACCUGCUGAUGCAGCAACUGCCAAUGCCCACAGUCUCCAUGUCAUGGGGGCUGCUGGGCAGCCAGCCUGGAGACUUCUAUAAUUGCCAAUGGGAAAUAUGUUGUCAGUCUGCUUGUUCUUCCAUUGACUCAAAUUUCUUCAAUCUGAAGAUAUGCAUCUUUCUUCAAGGAUGUGCAAAAAAAGAUAUUGUACAACCAUCAUAAUGGCAAAAAUUAAAACUUAUCAAGUGUUGGCAAGGAUAUGGGAAAAAUUCUCAUAUGCUACCAAUGAGAAUUUAUAAAUGAUUACAACAUUUUGGGGUGCCAUCUGGGGGUACUAGCAAAACAGGAUAACCUAAGAUCAAGCAAUUAUAAUUUUAGGCACCAAUCCUGAGAAAACUUGCAUUCAUAGAAAAAGGAGAUACAUGCACAUCUGUUCAGUGAAGCAUUGUUUGCCAUUGGGAAAAAAAGAGAAAGAAAUUAAUCAAAAUGUUCAAUAGGAGGAUAUAUGAAUCUUUAACGUAAUUUUCAAAAAUAAAAUCCUGAACAGCAGUUAAAACAAAUGAAUCAGAUAUACUCACACAAGGUAGGCAAAUUUGGAAGACAAAAUGAGAAAUACAAUAAAGUAAAAAGUAGAUGAUAAAUGCAACACAAUUCCCUAUGGAUAAAUUUUAACCACCCACAAUACUAUAAUUGCCCAAUAUGUAGAAACCAUGAGAUUUCACAUUUUCUACAAUGCACUAAAAUAAAAAAAAAGGAAACAGGAUAAAAGGCAAUCCAAGAAAUAUUUAUCCUCUUGGAAAUCAAAAAGAAGAUCUAAAAUAAUUCCUGGUUUGAAGAAAUAACAGAAAUUAAAAGCUACAUAGAAAUGGUCAACAGUAUUAGCCAGACACAGAUGUGUUCGAGGAGCUAAGGGAGACUAAUGAUCAGUCCGGGGUCUCUCCAAGGUUACAAGUCUUAAGCAAAGAUACUUGUUCUGAGUCCAUUUUUUUCCUGGGUUUUCCUGUGGCUUCUGCUGGUUUCUGACAUGGGGAAAAGGGGGGAAGAGUUAGAAUGUACCCCUCUCUCCAUCUCUCCCAACCUUCCUUUAGUAACAAGUAGGAAAGCACAAUAGAAGAUAAAAGAACGUAGUAGAAUGUAGAGGGAUGUAACAUGGGCAAUGUUAGGUGGACAGAAGUUCAGAGCAAAGGAGAAGGCAUGGGGGCAGUGUUGUCUACGGGCUGGGGUCGAAAUGCACAGGCAGACACCUGAUGCACCAACAAGGUCAUGGAUUUCUGUCCUUGAGUGAGGGCAGCCAGACCCAGCCAAGCUCAAAGGGCAAGUGAGGAUACAAGAGCAACACCAGAGGAAGUCCUGCUCAAGGUGUAGGGCUGGGGUGAGAGGGAGUGCCAGGAGAAGUGGGGAAGCAUGCUCGAUUCAGCUGAGCUUUAGCUCAGAAAACCAUGCUCCUGGAAAGAGGAAGCUGGCCAAGUACUGUUCCAAGGCAGCGGGAGGGCGAAGCCAGAGCAUCCUGCUUCUUUACGUGGGGAGGCCAGUUCUCUGUGGAAGUGGCAAUACAAAGGCAGGGGAAUUGAACUACUCAGAACCUUCAGGGAGAAAUAUUUCCUGCCCAAAUUCAGGUGCUAAACAAACAACAAAAUGAGAACCUCUACUAUGAAGAGUUUCCAACCAUGAGAUAUCUGAGGACAUUACAUUCCUGGGAAUAAAGCCAGGGGUGCCAUGACAGACAACUAGAAAGAACAACUUAGUGGGCCAGCCCCACUCCAGUAAGACCCAAGGAGGAAACUUCAUAUUCCUUUAGACUGUUUUAGCUUUUGGCAAAGCCAGACCCCAUGCUCCAAGCUUGCUGGGUUCUAUCCUCCAUAUCAUCCAGAAGAUACACUGUUACUGCAGAAGGUGACACUGAGGAGAGAGCGCGGUGUAUAUUUAUUCAUGUAAAAAAAACCCUGGGUAUAAGCACAGCAAUGUUAAUAACUAGAAAUUACUGAAUUUUCUAUGUUGUCUGUUGUGGAAAUAAAGCCCUCUGGGGAUGGAUCAAAAAUAUCUGGAAAUUACUUGAAACUGGUGAAUAACUAAAUGGAAUGAUAACUAAAAUGUACUGUAAUCCAAUUGUAUUUUUUGUCCUUUAAGGGUUGUUUCCAGGGAGCACUAUGCAGUGAAUGUUACAAAAAUGACAUAAAACUCCAAAAGCUACUCUAUGUAAAUUUCUUGAGUGGGAAUUCUCAUGAUGUUUGGCAUAUUACUCUGAUAAUUGUAUAUGUCAAUUGGUUUUAUGUUCUGACAUUUUGACCGCUUUGGGGAAAAAUGAGGUGUAUACCCAGAGUUUUCCUGGCAAAUGCUUAAAAACUGGCCCUCUGGGUGGAAAAUCCUGAUUGAUGGUGUUUGCCAAUUUCCAUGGUGUAAAUACUACUUCCACUCUGGCUGACUGCAAGCUAUGAAUGUGCUAUCAUUGAGUGCAGAACUGGGAAAGGAUGUGCAAUGUGGACACUUGUGAGUCCAUACAAGCCACUGUAUAUACCCAGGAGCCUGUGUGAAACUACAGUUUUUUACUAAAAAUAUUGCCCCAUAAAUAUACAAAGGUACCAGUGGAAGAAAAAAUAUAAAGGGAAAAUAAAUUCAAAUUGGAAGUUCAAAUGGAGAAAAUAACAGGAUUUUUUCAACUUUGUCUAUAUGCUACAUUUUAUUAUUAUAUGUUUAAAAGAAAACAAAGUAUCUAUGUGUCAUCUCCAGGUUCUGAACUCUUAGUUUCUUUGGUGUUCCCUGAGAUGGAGGCUAGGGUUUCUUUCCUUUCAGAUAUUGGUGCUAAGAUGAUGCUGUCCAAAGAAUUGAUGGGACCUGCUCACUGUGAAGCCAGUUUCAGGAUGGCUGAGCUGAGGUGGUGACAGAAGAAAAGAUGAGGAGCCUUCUGAAUUUGGGGAGGCAACACUUAUAUUUAUAUGUGUGGUUUGGUAUGAUAAUAUAUUGCUUUAAAAGUUAAUGCUAAUGGAAACAAGAAAAAAGCAGUUGUUCAAAAAUUGAAAAAAAUGGAUUAAUAAACUCUUCUAUUAGAGCAAGGCAAGAGGAACUUAUUAAAACUGAGGUGAAUUAGAAAUAUC
rnacentral:lncRNA from 9 species